CUUUUCCCGGGGAAACUAGCAUAUCAAUAAGCGGAGGAAAAGAAACCAACAGGGAUUGCCCUAGUAACGGCGAGUGAAGCGGCAACAGCUCAAAUUUGAAAUCUGGCUCUUUUAGAGUCCGAGUUGUAAUUUGCAGAGGGCGCUUUGGCUUUGGCAGCGGUCCAAGUUCCUUGGAACAGGACGUCACAGAGGGUGAGAAUCCCGUACGUGGUCGCUGGCUAUUGCCGUGUAAAGCCCCUUCGACGAGUCGAGUUGUUUGGGAAUGCAGCUCUAAAUGGGAGGUACAUUUCUUCUAAAGCUAAAUAUUGGCCAGAGACCGAUAGCGCACAAGUAGAGUGAUCGAAAGAUGAAAAGCACUUUGGAAAGAGAGUCAAACAGCACGUGAAAUUGUUGAAAGGGAAGCGCUUGCAGCCAGACUUGCUUACAGUUGCUCAUCCGGGUUUCUACCCGGUGCACUCUUCUGUAGGCAGGCCAGCAUCAGUUUGGGCGGUAGGAUAAAGGUCUCUGUCACGUACCUCCUUUCGGGGAGGCCUUAUAGGGGAGACGACAUACUACCAGCCUGGACUGAGGUCCGCGCAUCUGCUAGGAUGCUGGCGUAAUGGCUGUAAGCGGCCCGUCUUGAAACACGGACCAAGGAGUCUAACAUCUAUGCGAGUGUUUGGGUGUCAAGCCCGAGCGCGUAAUGAAAGUGAACGGAGGUGGGAACCCGCAAGGGUGCACCAUCGACCGAUCCUGAUGUCUUCGGAAGGAUUUGAGUAAGAGCAUGGCUGUUGGGACCCGAAAGAUGGUGAACUAUGCUUGAAUAGGGUGAAGCCAGAGGAAACUCUGGUGGAGGCUCGCAGCGGUUCUGACGUGCAAAUCGAUCGUCAAAUUUGGGCAUAGGGGCGAAAGACUAAUCGAACUAUCUAGUAGCUGGGUCCUGCGGUUUUCCCCCCCCCCAGA
rnacentral:rRNA from 1 species